rnacentral:rRNA from 1 species
CCUACGGGAGGCUGCAGUGGGGAAUAUUGCACAAUGGUGGGAACCCUGAUGCAGCGACGCCGCGUGAGUGAAGAAGUUUUUCGGUAUGUAAAGCUCUAUCUGCAGGGAAGAAAAUGCCGGUACCUGACUAAGAAGCCCCGGCUAACUAAGUGCCAGCAGCCGCGGUUAUACGGCGGGGGCCACGGUUAUCCGGAUUUACUGGGGGUAAAGGGGGCGUAGACGGUUAUGAAAGUCUGAAGUGAAAGCCUAGGGCUCAACCAUGGGACUGCUUUGGAAACUGUAAAACUGGAGUGCAGGAGAGGUAAGCGGAAUGCGUGGUGUAGCGGUGAAAUGCGUAGAUAUUAGGAAGAACACCAGUGGCGAAGGCAGCGUACUGGACUGUAACUGACGUUGAGGCACGAAGGCGUGGGGAGCAAACAGGAUUAGAUACCCUAGUAGUC